rnacentral:rRNA from 1 species
CUGGCGGCGUGCCUAAUACAUGCAAGUCGAACGCACUCUCGUUUAGAUUGAAGGAGCUUGCUCCUGAUUGAUAACAUUUGAGUGAGUGGCGGACGGGUGAGUAACACGUGGGUAACCUGCCCUAAAGUGGGGGAUAACAUUUGGAAACAGAUGCUAAUACCGCAUAAAACCUAACACCGCAUGGUGUAGGGUUGAAAGAUGGUUUCGGCUAUCACUUUAGGAUGGACCCGCGGUGCAUUAGUUAGUUGGUGAGGUAAAGGCUCACCAAGACCGUGAUGCAUAGCCGACCUGAGAGGGUAAUCGGCCACACUGGGACUGAGACACGGCCCAGACUCCUACGGGAGGCAGCAGUAGGGAAUCUUCCACAAUGGACGAAAGUCUGAUGGAGCAACGCCGCGUGAGUGAAGAAGGUUUUCGGAUCGUAAAACUCUGUUGUUGGAGAAGAAUGUAUCUGAUAGUAACUGAUCAGGUAGUGACGGUAUCCAACCAGAAAGCCACGGCUAACUACGUG